rnacentral:lncRNA from 1 species
GGCGAUCGUGCACAGGAUUCAAGGGGACAACUUCGGCUGCGAAAAUUUCUCUGUACUUCCUUCAUUCGAAAUUCGAACUCGGAAGUAGGAGGACUGGUGUUGGGUAUAAAAUACCCCCCAGCCGAAGUUCGUGACAGGAGUGACCCUCUGGGGAUCUAACCGACUUCCGACCUCCGACGACAUCUCUUCAAACCUCUCAGGCGGUCGAGCCUCCGCAACACUCCCAAGUUUUGCUGACGGAUAAGCCCCCACCAGUGUCGAUCGGAUUCUUCACGACAGACGGACUCCACCCAAGUUUCCACGAUGAUCGACCAUCUUCUAGACCUCGCCCGGCUCCUACGGGAGUCGGACCUCAUCCCCAACUCCGGC